rnacentral:lncRNA from 1 species
GGGGGAAAUCUGCCUCUCACUGAGAUGUAACAUCUUGAUCUUCUUCAAUUCAUGUCUUCUUGUAAUUUGAUUUAUCUGUAUGCAAUGUUGUCAUCAAUAAAGAGUCUUCAUCUUAUCUAUUAAGUCAACCAUUAGGAAUGAUACAUCAUGUGAGAACAUGUAGAACCCAAAACAGUGCCCUGAAAACAAACCCUGAUAUAAGGCAGCAACCAUUUGAUUUUCUGGGGGGGGGGGGCUAUGGUUUUUUUUCUGGACAAAUUUUUUUUUUUCGCCUGCGGCGAAAAAGAAUCUAUUUUUUUCGUGACAAGUCGAAAACAAUUUUUUUCUUUCAAUUUUAGCAUUACAUAUAGUGGCAGCUGAGGGUGAAACAAACAAUUUUUUUUUCUCAGAAUCAAAAACAAAUUAUUUUUUUCUCCAAAACAUGGAAACAAACUUUUUU